rnacentral:rRNA from 1 species
UGGCGGACGGGUGAGUAAUGUCUGGGAAACUGCCCGAUGGAGGGGGAUAACUACUGGAAACGGUAGCUAAUACCGCAUAACGUCGCAAGACCAAAGAGGGGGACCUUCGGGCCUCUUGCCAUCAGAUGAACCCAUAUGGGAUUAGCUAGUAGGUAAGGUAACGGCUUACCUAGGCGACGAUCCCUAGCUGGUCUGAGAGGAUGACCAGCCACACUGGAACUGAGACACGGUCCAG